rnacentral:rRNA from 1 species
UAAGGAAUAUUGGUCAAUGGACGCAAGUCUGAACCAGCCAUGCCGCGUGAAGGAUUAAGGUCCUCUGGAUUGUAAACUUCUUUUAUAUGGGACGAAAAAAGGUCUUUCUAGACCACUUGACGGUACCAUAUGAAUAAGCACCGGCUAACUCCGCGCCAGCAGCCGCGGUAAUACGGAGGGUGCAAGCGUUAUCCGGAUUCACUGGGUUUAAAGGGUGCGUAGGCGGGUAGGGAAGUCAGUGGUGGAAUC